rnacentral:rRNA from 1 species
AUUGAACGCUGGCGGCAGGCCUAACACAUGCAAGUCGGGCGAACGAGGCUUCCGCCAAGUGAGCGGCGAACGGGUGAGUAACACGUAGGAAUCUGCCUGGUAGUGGGGGACAACGUCUCGAAAGGGACGCUAAUACCGCAUACGCCCUACGGGGGAAAGCAGGGGCUCUUCGGACCUUGCGCUAUCAGAUGAGCCUGCGUCGGAUUAGCUAGUUGGUAGGGUAAAGGCCUACCAAGGCGACGAUCCGUAACUGGUCUGAGAGGAUGAUCAGUCACACCGGAACUGAGAAACGGUCCGGACUCCUACGGGAGGCAGCAGUGGGGAAUAUUGGACAAUGGGGGCAACCCUGAUCCAGCCAUGCCGCGUGUGUGAAGAAGGCCUUCGGGUUGUAAAGCACUUUAGGUCGGGAGGAAGGUUCGCUGGCUAAUAUCCAGCGGAAUUGACGUUACCGACAGAAUAAGCACCGGCUAACUCCGUGCCAGCCGCCGCAGUAAAAC